rnacentral:tRNA from 1 species
GGGGCUGUAGCUCAGCUGGGAGAGCGCCUGAAUGGCAUUCAGGAGGUCACGGGUUCAAGUCCCGUCAGCUCCA